rnacentral:tRNA from 1 species
GCGGGCGUGGCGGAACAGGCAGACGCGCCAGAUUUAGGUUCUGGUACCGCAAGGUGUGAAGGUUCAAGUCCUUUCGCCCGCACCA